UACGUAGGUGGCAAGCGUUGUCCGGAUUUACUGGGCGUAAAGAGCGCGCAGGCGGUCGGAUAAGUCGAAUGUGAAAGCCCCCGGCUCAACUGGGGAGGGUCAUUCGAUACUGUUCGACUCGAAGGCAGGAGAGGGAAGUGGAAUUCCCGGUGUAGUGGUGAAAUGCGUAGAUAUCGGGAGGAACACCAGUGGCGAAGGCGACUUCCUGGCCUGUUCUUGACGCUGAGGCGCGAAAAGCUGGGGGGAGCAAACCGGG
rnacentral:rRNA from 1 species